rnacentral:rRNA from 1 species
UGGGGAAUUUUGGUCAAUGGGCGAGAGCCUGAACCAGCCAAAUCGCGUGAAGGAAGACUGCCUUAUGGGUUGUAAACUUCUUUUAUACAGGAAUAAAAAAGGGGACGUGUCCCUUAUUGCAUGUACUGUAUGAAUAAGCAUCGGCUAACUCCGUGCCAGCAGCCGCGGUAAUACGGAGGAUGCGAGCGUUAUCCGGAUUUAUUGGGUUUAAAGGGUGCGCAGGCGGGCUUUUAAGUCAGCGGUGAAAUCUCGGGGCUUAACUCCGAAACUGCCGUUGAAACUGGGAGUCUUGAGUAUGGAUGAAGUAGGCGGAAUUCGUUGUGUAGCGGUGACAUGCUUAGAUAUAACGAGGAACUCCGAUUGCGUAGGCAGCUUACUAAGCCAUAACUGACGCUCAAGCACGAAAGCGUGGGGAUCAAACAGGAUUANAUACCCUGGUAGUCCACGCCGUAAACGAUGAUUACUAGUUGUAUCCGAUAUACCGUNUGUGACUAAGCGAAAGCGAUAAGUAAUCCACCUGGGGGAGUAC